UUCUCCCCACACACAGUGUCUGUAUAGUUUGAUGGAAAAUGGAUGAUUACAGUCAGCAAAUUUAUAUAUACACAAGUGUGCCACGCCACUUUUGCGUUUCGGCGCCAAGUGUUCAGUCAGUCACCUUCAAAAGUAUAAAAAAACAACCUACCUUCUCUCUUCUUGUAAUAAUACCAACACCAUACAUACCACCACCAGUCCAGUCCUUCCACCACUCACCACACGAAACACGAUGGUUUGCAAUUGCUCCGUCCUGAGCAUGAAAUCAUCAAAUAUUGACUUUUCCACCGAUGUCCACCGCAGUCUUCUUCCAUCAAGUUGCAACGAACUACGCGAAUGCGAAUAACGCGAUUACUUGGGAGUUUGAGGCUUGUAGAGCUGUCAUGAUGUCAGACUCGCGUCAGUCAUGUGACUGCCUGCCACGCCAUCUCCAACAGUUCUCUACUUCUGAAAAAUAACAAUGCAGGCUACGGGGAAAAUGCGGGGAAAAAACAAAGAAGAGGAGGAUGUAAAAACACAAGAAGAGCAGGAGGAAACAAGAAAAUUUUCAAGAAGACGGAUUACUUCUAACUGGGAUCGG